AGUGAACGCUGGCGGUAGGCCUAACACAUGCAAGUCGAACGGCAGCACAGUAAGAUCUUGCUCUUACGGGUGGCGAGUGGCGGACGGGUGAGGAAUACAUCGUACUCUACUUUUUCGGGGGGGAUAACGUAGGGAAACUUACUCUAAUACCGCAUACGACCUACCGUUGAAAGCAUGGGAUCUUCGGACCUUGCGCGCUUCCAUGAGCCGAUGUCGGAUUAGCUAGUUGGCGGGGUAAAGGCCCACCAAGGCGACGAUCCGUAGCUGGUCUGAGAGGAUGAUCAGCCACACUGGAACUGAGACACGGUCCAGACUCCUACGGGAGGCAGCAGUGGGGAAUAUUGGACAAUGGGCGCAAGCCGGAUCCAGCCAGACCGCGUGGGUGAAGAAGGCCUUCGGGUUGUAAAGCCCGUUUGUUGGGAAAGAAAAGCAGCAGGUUAAUACCCCGCUGUUCUGACGGUACCCAAAGAAUAAGCACCGGCUAACUUCGUG
rnacentral:rRNA from 1 species